rnacentral:rRNA from 1 species
UACGAAGGGGGCUAGCGUUGUUCGGAAUUACUGGGCGUAAAGGGUGCGUAGGCGGCGGGGCAAGUCUGAUGUGAAAUCCCGGGGCUCAACCCCGGAACUGCAUUGGAUACUGCCUUGCUCGAGUACUGGAGAGGGUCGCGGAAUUCCCGGUGUAGAGGUGAAAUUCGUAGAUAUCGGGAGGAACACCAGUGGCGAAGGCGGCGACCUGGACAGAUAUUGACGCUGAGGUGCGAAAGCGUGGGGAGCAAACAGG